GGUGGAUGCUGUGUGACCAGGUAAUGUACGACAUUCUUUUAUGGCUGACCACUGGGAAAGCAUCUCUGGAGAAGGAGCUGCUACACGCAGAGUGGUAAUUGUGAACAUCUACUUCUCCAUCAACUGGAAGAGCCACAGGCCGACCACUAAAUAGAACUAAUGAAUGUAUCCUUUCAAUAACAACUGAUACCAUGUAAUGCUUAUGCAAAAGAGGUAAGUGGUUUGAUGACAUGACUUCUGUUUUAACUGCUGGAAUACCACAAAAUCUCCGUAUGUAUAUGAUAGCACAACACCGUUUUUCAGUGUGACCCUCUGAUUUUGCUAAAAUGACCACAGCUUUGAAUGUUGCUUAGAAAAAUAAGUACCUCUUCAAAAAGGGAUGCAAAAGAAAAAAAAAAUAACCAACCCACCUUGAAACUUAACACAACAUUUCAAUGAAAAAGGAUGCUGAUCCCUGAUAAGGCAGGUUUGGGACAGUGGGUAAGGGAGAGAUAAAAAGCCAAGAAAAACCUGUAGCACUGAAUGGGUAAAACUAAGGUGGGGGAGGAUUAAGAUGGUAUAUUUCCCUCCCAGGCCAGGUUUUACUUCAUGGGAGAUUUAAAUGAGUGAUCUUCCACUGUGAUAUGUCAUCAUAAUCAAUAUUAAGGAAGCAACAAAGGUUGCUGCUGAGGAUGAGCGUCUCUCUCAUCUCCCCUCUUCCCUGAUGACAGGAUGAUGGGGAACCAGGGGGACUCGGAGACAACACCAGUCCUCAGCAGGCUCUUCCACUGGACAGCAGUAGGCGUUGAAGUGUAGAGUAGGCAUGAUACAGGGAGACCUAAAGUCCCUUUUCAAGAGGUGCUUCAAGCAAGGAAGACGGGCAGGUUCCUCACCUCAGCCCUGCUGCUGCCACAGAAGUUGCACAGAUGGAGUGAGCUCACCCGAUGGACAAUGUUUUCAUGCUGCACAUGUUCAGAGAACAGGGUCUGGAAGAUCUGUCACAGAAGAGUCUCCUGCCACACGCCACGAGUGUCAUCCCAUCCAGACCCCGCGCCUACUUGUGAACACAAAAGCUGGGUGUCGAUGAUGUCUAUCGCUAACACCGGCCGCGUUUACAUCUGGGAUAGCAAAGCGUGGACCUGCAAACGGCAAGUGUUAAGGAGGAGCUGCAAAGGCUACACCGGGGAGCGACGGGCCGAGGGGACCCGCUCGGCGGGCCGGGCUCGGGGAGCGACAGCGAGGCCCCGGCAGCUGCCCCGCGGCUACCCCCCAGCCCAGCCCCCCGGCCGAAUCCAGACCGUGCCGAGCCCCGGGCGCCCCGAGGGAGAAAGGCAGCCCCGGAGCCGGGCGCGGAGGGCCGGAGGGAGCCCCUUCAGUGAGCAGCGGCACCGGGGAGCCCCCCCCCCCCCCCCCCCCCCCCCCCCCCCCCCCCCCCCCCCCCCCCCCCCCCCCCCCCCCCCCC
rnacentral:lncRNA from 1 species